AUCCAACUGACGAGUUCCAAAUAAGAUGAAAAGUACGUCUUGGAU
rnacentral:hammerhead_ribozyme from 1 species